AUGUCGGAGAUGCUCGCGGCCCUGCGGAGCUUCAACGAGGAGCCGGCGGAGGCGAGGCGCCCCUACUACUCGAGGGACGGGCAGAGCCGCGUGAGGUACCACAGCAACUUCGACCUGUUCCGGUCGCCGGCGGCCAUCUGGCGAGACACGCUGUACCUGGACAUGGCGCCGACGGGGCCGUCGCCCGAGGAGAUCCCGCCGGCGUGCAGAGGCAUCGCGGUGGAGUUCACGAGGGAGGUGCAGAGGCUCGGCGGCACGCUUUUCGAGCUGCUGUCGGAGGCCCUGGGCCUCCACCGUGGGUUCCUGGAGCAGCGCGAAGCCGGCUGCCUUGAGGGGCUGAGCGUCGUCGGCCACUACUACCCGGCGUCGCCGCAGCCGCAGCUCACCAUGGGCACGUCCAGGCACACCGACCCGUCUUUCCUGACGGUGCUCCUCCAGGAUAGCGUUGGCGGCCUCCAGGUGCUCCACCGGCUCCGGCGGGAUGAUCAGCCGGUCUGGGUCGACGUGCCCGCCGAGCCCGGCGCGUUCACCGUCAACGUCGGCGACUUCCUUCAGCUGCUCUCCAACGACAGGUUCAGGAGCGUGGAGCACCGUGUCCUCUCCAAGAGCGUGGGGCCUCGAGUCUCCGUGGCCUGCUUUUUCCGGCCGCAUGGCGCGGCUGCAGCUGCCAGGGUGUGCGCCCCCAUCCUCGUCGGCGACGGCGCCGCGAGUCCUCCGCGGUACAGGAGCGCCACAGUGGAGGAUUUGAUCGUCCACUACAGGGACAAGGCUCUCGAUGGCACCUCCAUGCUUGACCACUACAGGAUCUGA
rnacentral:rRNA from 1 species